rnacentral:rRNA from 1 species
GACGAACGCUGGCGGCGUGCCUAACACAUGCAAGUCGAGCGAAGUGAGUACUACGGUACGAACUUAGCGGCGGACGGGUGAGUAGCGCGUGGACAGUCUACCCUGUAGACUGGGAUAACACCUCGAAAGGGGUGCUAAUACCGGAUAAUGUCGAGAAGCGGCAUCGCUUUCCGAAGAAAGGAGAGAAUCCGCUAUAGGAGGAGUCCACGUCCCAUUAGCUAGUUGGUGAGGGUAACGGCCCACCAAGGCGACGAUGGGUAGCCGGCCUGAGAGGGUGAACGGCCACACUGGAACUGAGACACGGUCCAGACUCUGACGGGAGGCAGCAGUGGGGAAUAUUGUGCAAUGGGGGAAACCCUGACACAGCAACGCCGCGUGAGCGAAGAAGGCCUUCGGGUUGUAAAGCUCAAUAGUAUGGGAAGAUAAUGACGGUACCAUACGAAAGCCCCGGCUAACUACGUGCCAGCCGCCGCGGUAA